rnacentral:lncRNA from 1 species
UUGCUAUUAUAGAAUAUUGCUAUAAACUACUUCAAACUUAAAAGGUUGACUUAGGACAAAGCUAAUACAUUUUGUAGUCUUAAACGAAGCAUGACCAUGUUGAAGUUUACAUCUAGGUCUUGCAUAAAAGGAUGUAUAUAUGGGGUAUGGGCUAUGGCACACCCCAUAUGUCUCGUCCAUCACAACAAAAUCUACCUAAAUACGUGUUACACAUAAAUAGUACAUGUUACUCUAGAAAAACAUAAAUAGUAGAUAUGUGUUACUCCCUCCAAUCCCAUAGAAGGGCGCUAAAUUUCUCGCCUGUUUUCCACCCAAUCAGGGCGCCAAGAGGGAUGUGUCCCUAAACUGACAGAAGCACCCCUCCAUCCCAACUGCCGUCAUAUCUCCCUUAACAGAAGAGAAGAUGUAGUGGUGCAGUACGUGGCAGCAGCAAUGGGGACAGGUUGUAGAAGUUGUGUGAACAUUUUUAAAAUAUUACGGACAUUUUUGUGAAUGGUAUCAAUAUAUUUUUUAAAGUUGGAUGAAUUUUUUACACUCCACAGGCAGUUUUUUAACAUGCAAUGAACAUUUUUAAAAAUUAUGUAGAUUUAUUUUGGAAUAUAUGUAUUUAAAAUUUUGAAAUAUAAACAAAACUAAAAAUAAAAAUCUAACAAAAGUAACGAACUAAUCUUACUAUGCCUGCCCACUUGGCACUCCACUCAGACGAGGCAUGCCUAUCUUUCAGGCCCCGCUUGGACUGCCCUAAAAAAUUGAUCCUAAAAUUAGCUGUAAAACAUUGCUAAAAAAAGUUGUGUGCCCUGCCUCGGCAACGAGCGAUUGGUUCGUCAUUCCGACCCUUGAAUUUAUGGGAAAUUUUCUGGCUUAAACCCGAAAAAGUUCCGGUUUACAAAAUUUACGUUUCUUCCAAGCAAGUGAGGGGUCAGGUUUCAGGCUCGAGCGCAUGCAACUUCUCUUGCCGACCCCCUAAAAAUUAGUGGAGUAAACCGCGGAGCAAAUGUUAGUGGAGUAAUUGUACUCCAAAUUUUGGCUGCUUCUAGCCGUUCUCGUAAAUUAACAAAGUAAAACGCAAAUUCGGAUAUGAUGAACACAGAUUCAAUUCAAACAAACGUACUAACCAAAAUUCGACACCAAUUUAUGAAAUUUCACAUUGUCAUCAACCAACAAAAAAGUCAACUAAAUUAACUGAAUCUAAAACUUACUAAAAUCUAGUCACUAUACAUAUCUUCAGUGACCGAUUUCCACCCCACUCGGGAAAGCCUAUUGAUCAUGGGGUCAGGCCCUGUGUAGUCAUCGUCGUCGCCGAAGAUUCUUGUAAAUUCGGUCCUGAAGCAGUCAUCGUUUCCGCCUCCAUUCUCUCCUCCGCUUCCGUUGCCUCUGUUUCCGCCAUUAUCUUCGUCGUUGCUUGACAACAUGANNNNNNNNNNNNNNNNNNNNNNNNNNNNNNNNNNNNNNNNNNNNNNNNNNNNNNNNNNNNNNNNNNNNNNNNNNNNNNNNNNNNNNNNNNNNNNNNNNNNNNNNNNNNNNNNNNNNNNNNNNNNNNNNNNNNNNNNNNNNNNNNNNNNNNNNNNNNNNNNNNNNNNNNNNNNNNNNNNNNNNNNNNNNNNNNNNNNNNNNNNNNNNNNNNNNNNNNNNNNNNNNNNNNNNNNNNNNNNNNNNNNNNNNNNNNNNNNNNNNNNNNNNNNNNNNNNNNNNNNNNNNNNNNNNNNNNNNNNNNNNNCACCUGCUCUGGGUAGUGGCGGCGAAGCGCCGCCAUGUAUGCCUCAUCGGCGGCCUCCUCCACCAACUUUUCCCUUGCCUCUUGGUCCUUCCUCCUGUCCAGUGUGGAGACCACCCGCGGGUCGACGACAUCUAGCCGCAACAACUCACUAAACUCAAAGUUCCGGUGGCCAUCGGCGCCGUGUAGCCAAACAACCAAAUGUUGUAUUCCUGGUCGGCCUGCUCGGCGGAUUGGAAGGAUCUGAGCCAAAGCGUCGUGUGGGUGUGCCGGUUGGUGAUCUCGGCCACCCACUUCCCCAUCCCCGCUGCUGCAUGCCAAUGUGCGUCCUCUGUGGCGGCGGUGGUGCGGGGAGAUCGGGGAAGCCGGAGAGCCAGUUAUGGUAAGCGUAUGGGGCGCCGAUCAAGGAAGCGUCGUGGUAGCAGUGGGAGGCAGAUGCACUGACGCAGUGCUCGUGGCGGUGCAACCUGCGUUGAGGAUAGACUGCGGGGAGAGGCGGGUGCGGGAUCCGGCCAUGAUGGCGCGGGUGCGGGAGCGUUGCGGGGGUCGCCGAUGAGGGAUAGGGUGGGGAAGGAGGCAGACAGGCGUGUGUCUUUUACUCCGUGGCCGAGCGGAGGAGUAAGUUUAAGUGCUCGGCUUGGCGUGGAGUGAAGUAUUUACUCCAUUAUAGGAUUUCACUCUCGGUUAGAUCACAGUUAGAGGAGUAAAAACAUUUUUUUUUACUCUUUUAACCGAUUUUAGGGUGUCCGCUAGAGAUGCUCUUAGGUACACCGCUUCGUCCCUGAGGAAGAUGUAUCUCCCUGAUUUAAUCCAUUCAAAAGACAUAGGUCACGUAAGAUCCCUUUAAGUGUAGCAUUAUUCGGGGUUGGAGCGGGCGACGGGCGUGCUCGUGGCAGUUCCUGUGCGAGGAGAACCGCGUGUCGACGUCCAAUACACGGUCACUCGCCCAUUUUGUCAUCCAAUACACGGUCGGUCGGAAGGAAUGUAAAUAUGGCAUACUAGAUUAUGUGUACACAUGCGCUAUUCUAAGCCCAAGCAUUGAAAGGCUAAUAUGUGGCCCUUUUUUGUGGGUAAGGCCCUGGUUGAAGGCAUAGAAAAUGGGGUUGUCUAGAUGUGUCCAAGUUAUUGCACAUCUAAGUGACUUAAUCAAGUAUAAAAAGAAAAAGAAAAGGGAAAAAUAAAAUGCCGACAAGAAUCUCCUUGCAAGGUCAAUGCAUAGGACUUUGAUGUGCAAUACUUAUGGCACAUCUAGACGUGCUUUAGCAAAACUGAUAGAAAAUUUACCCUUGUACUAAAGCAGCGACAACUAAUAUGAAACAGCGGGAGUAGUAAAAAUUGGUAUAAUAUGUGUAGUAAUUCUUCGAACUACAUAUUUUCACUAAGUCACAAAUAUACUAUAUUGUUUCAAAAUUACUAUAUUUUGAACACAUUUAUACUGCAACUGGUACAUUGUUUUACUGAGCUGUGGAAUAUAAGCUAUUCACACUCAGCCACACAAUUUGUAUACUACAUGGUAGUUCAUAAUAUGUGAGUAUUUUUCCUAUAUAAACGUAGGGGCACAAUGUAUUUCUAUAUACAUGGAGCUCAGAAUAUCUUAUUUUUCCCUCUAGUGGAAACAACAUGCACGCACGCACAUAAACAAUAACAAAACUAUUUUUAUGAUAAGUUUAUUGUCAAGUUUUCAUGUGAAACAUGAAUAACUAAAAUUAUACAUCAAAGCACAAUGAGUAGAUAAACACAGGCAGUUAUUGUACCUUUUGUCUGCUAGGAAAUCUUUGAUCUUGUCGAUGAGUUGUUCUAUGCACCCUGCUUCGGUGCCAGGAUAGCUUGUACCGGUAAUUUCACUAAGGAUAGUUCUGAGGAUUUUCAUCAAGUCUGGAUUUUGUGACACCGAUAUGAAAGCUCGAUACUGAAAUUCCCCUUUGAGGUCUUGAUACACUUGGUUUGCAAGAGUUGUCUUCCCCAUCCCUCCAAAUCCAACAAUGGAGACUAUCUUCAGUUGUUGUUGUUGCCUUGGCACUUGUCCAUUUUCUUCGCCUAAUAGCUUGAUUAUCUCGGCUUUGGUUUCAUCAAUUCCAACGAGUUUUGAUGCAUGCUCGAAUCUAGCAAGAAUUCUAGGGUCUACAACUUCAUUUUUGGUGCUAGAGAAGGUUUGACGACCCUUGUACCUUGCAUUCCUGUCACCCACCUCUAUGAUGUGUUUCUUCAGAUCUUGGAUCUCCUUGCCGAUCCGAUGGCGAGCCUUCAUCUUCCCCAACUUCCCUAGUGAAUUUUUGAUCUUCUCGAUGAAGCCAUCUGGCUUUUCGUCUUUGUCACCGAUGCUUUGCAUGAAGUCAUCGAUGGCAUCCUCUAGGUCAUAGGACAGCUCCCGCACUUCAUUCAUCCAGACUUUAUCCUGCACAUCGGGAUCCUCGUCCUCGGACAUCUCGAGGAGAAAAGCCUCCAUUGCGGCGAGCUCAUUAGUGAGAGACUUGAUCUCCUUGCCAACUGUUUUGAAACGCUUGUACUUGUUGCCGAGCAGAACGGUCAGCUUCUGGAUGACAGGUUUGAGGACCCCUGUCGCCACGCUGACGAGAGCCGCCUCCAUGGCCACGCUAUCUUAGAGCUCGGCCAGUCAAAAAUGUGCGUGGAGGUCAGGUUGCUGAAUGCACUGACAGUAAACAGGUGGUACCAAUCGACAAGCUGAAAACAAGAGGAUGUAUUAGUUUAUUAUACACUGAACAGCUAGGUGCAAAUCGCUCAUGUGGACCCAAGUUAAGUCAUAUAGAGAUGGGUUCAUGCCUGAUUGCCGUGCAACUCAGAACCAGCUCGGUCGCUUUGUUCGCAGUGCAGGUCGAGCGCACUGACAGUGAAGUGUGGAUUUGAUUUAGCCACCGCGUCGUCGAUCUGAACCCUGAAAUAGAAUGGAUUUGCGGAGGUGAGACGAGCUACAGAGCGUCUCUAUGGCAGUCAAAAAUGUGCUGACAGUAAAUAGCUAGUUACAAAUCGACAAGGUGAAAAAGAGGAUGGGUUAGUAGACUGAACAUCCUGACCCUGAACCUGAAAAAGUGGUUUUCUGCAAACUUAGCUCCCAUGGAACUUGAAUUUUUAGUUGUGCACCUGAUCUGCCGUGCAACUCAGAGGUAGCUCGAAGUGUUGGCCAAGCGCACUGAUGGUGAAGAGUGGAUUGUUUCGUCUUCUCCGCCUCGUGGAUCUGGACCUGAAAGAGAACGGAUUGACGGGGGUGAGCCCGACCAUUGCUGCACCAAACAAGCUACACAGCGUGCCCAGUGCCGGCGCAGUCCAACGCACGGCGGCAUCGGAGGAGAUUGAAGCGGGGAGCGAGGGGACGGGGCGGUACCUCGCGUGGGACGAUGGAUCCGGUGGAGGAGUAAACUUGGCUUCGGCGGUCGCGAAAUAACCUAGGAGAGGAGAAGGGGGGCGUGGGAGCUCGGACGCCGGCGACAGAUCGGCGUGCCAGGUGAAGAGCGGAUUAUCUAUUUCCUCGGCGUCGUGGAUCUGCACGUGAAAGAGAAUGGAUUAACCAAGAUGAGCGCAACAGCCUCUGCACAGAACGAGCCACGGACCGACCGUGUGCCGGCGCCGGCGGCUUCAUACAAGGAGAUCGAAGCAGCGCACUCGUACCUAGCUAGCAGGAUGGAUCCGCCGCAGAGUGGCGGACUGGGGCGACCGUGAGGUAACCCCGGCGAGGAGAAGCUCUGACGCCGGCUACGAGUGCACCGCGAGACGCAGUGGGAGUGAGAAGAGGAGAUGGAUGAUCUGGUCACUGGUCACUCAUCACAACGCAUAAACAAGGACCAGCGUCGUUGUUGUAGUCUGGCCCAUCUCUCUGUUCCGUGGGCCCAAAGCCACGAGGCCUAACAGAGUUUGUCGCCUCUCUCAUGCACACACCUCCCUAGAGUUUGACAAUUUAGAGUCUUUCGAAGGUGCUCAUACGGGUAGGAUGUGCGUGUGUAUGUUUAUAAGGAUGAGUAUAUGUGCAUGCAUAUGAGCGCUUGCGUCUGUACUGUGUUCAAAAAAAUUUAUUGACAAGUAAACAAGAAAUUGCUACCCCUAAUUAACUUCAUGUGAAGCAACAAGUUUCUAGCUAGGUUUCUGGAGACGCGGUUGAUGUGUGUGGAUUACAGUACAUGAUAUGAGCUAUAGUGGUACUGGUUUACAGGGGAUACGUAUACCCGUGUCAGGUUGGAUCGUGCCUUAGCAUCUCCUGCUUGGAGUUUACUAUUUCCAGAUGGUGCGGUGCAGCACCUUACUUCUGCCUGUUCGGAUCAUAUACAUGGCGCUCUUGCUGAAUAUCAGAGAGGAGGCGCCCCAUGGUGCUCAACAGUCAACACAAACAUUUUCGGUAUGAAGUCAUUUGGUUUCACAAAUAUUGAUAUAUUUUUAUAAACUUGGUCAAACUUUAAAAUAGUUUGACCCUUUAAAAAAGUUGAAAGUACACUCCUUGAAGGACAGAGGGAGUAUAGGAGCACAUAGUAUUUAUUAGCUGGCCGAUAGAUCUAGACCUUUGGACCAAGGAGUAUUAUUGAGAGUUCACAUGGUUGGUUCUCACAUGCAUGGGCCAUGCGGGUAGAUACAUAUACUCCCUUCGUUCCUAUAUAUUUGUCUUUCUAGAGGUUUCAACAAGUGACUACAUACGAAGCAAAAUGAGUGAAUCUACGCUCUAAAAUAUGUCUAUAUACAUCCGUAUGUGGUAACCAUUUGAAAUCUCUGGAAAGACAAAUAUUUAGGAACGGAGGGAGUAAUUAAGAAGAACAUCGAUCGAUUAGCCAACCACCGGCCUGCAUGAACAGGUGAAUAAUUUUUUUGUACGGGAAAUUUUGUUGAUAAUUUUUGCAGGCACAAAAAGAGUUCAACUAGUUCACAUUAGAGAUGAGACACAUGCAAAACACAUGAUAAAUAUCACAAAUAUACUACUACAUCUGUCCAGGUUAGUGGUCCUUGUAUUUUGGGUCAUAUUCUGACCAUUAAUUUAACUAAUAAUUAUUAUUAUUAUGUGUAGCAAAAAUAAUAUUACUGAAAAUUACAUUCAAAUUAUAAUUCAAUAAUACAAUUUUUAGUGACAUGCAUUUAAUAUUUUGCUAGUCCAAUAUUCGGUCAAACUUUGUCCAAAAACAUGAAGAGGACUAAUAAACCCGGACGAAGGUAAUACUUAUACUAGUGCAAAAGAAAAACAAAGUAGCCGUCGAGAAAUUUCACAGUUUUAUAGUGGUCGAGAGGCUUUUAGAUCCCAAGAGAGAGAGAGAGCGCGCUAGAAAGAGUGCAUUUUGUACAACCAGGCCGGAACAGUGCCAGCAAGACAACCCGUACCCAACAACAGCCUAGCCCGGACAGCGUCGUUAUUAGGCUUUAAUUCGCUCUGUUCCACGUGGGCCUCCUCAGCUAAAGCGAACAGUGCAGCGAUAGCAAGUUAGCAACCUCCUCCAUCAUUGUUUUUUCUGUGUCCACAUCAACCUCCUCCUCUAGCAAGACAGUAGUUGUCAUCUCUUAAUGAAAUGAAAUAAGGACUCACUGUUUUUCGUCAAAAAAAAAACCCAGAUCACCAUUGCAAGCGCAUAUGUAAGAAAAAUGUAAUCCUAACGGCAUCCAGGUUUGUCGAGAUAAUGACAUGAGUUUAUAGUAAGUUUAGUAAAUUUAUACACUUUAUCGACAGAAGAAGCUCUCCGUUGGACGCCUAUUUUGCAGAAGAACAUGUUGCCUUGUUAAUGAAAAUAGUCAAUAAUGACUAUAGGAGUACAUAUUAUUUAUUGGCCGGCCGAAAGAUCGAGACCUUUGGACCAAGGAGUACAAUAAGAGUUCACAUGGUUGGUUCUCACAUGCAUGGGCCAUGUGGGUAGAUAUAAUUAAGAAGAACAACGAUCGAUUAGCCAACCACCUGCCGGCUUGAACAGGUGAAUAAUUUUUUAGUCACAGAAAAUAUUGUUGAUCUUUUUGCAAGGAGACACAUGCAAUCACGAUCCAAACACAUGAUAAAUAUCACAAAUAGACUACUACCUCUGUCCGGGUUUACUGGCCCCCCUCGUAUUUUGGGUCAUAUUUUAAACAUUAUUUUAACUAAUAAAAAUAAGAAUUGUAUACAGCAAAAAUAAUAUUACGGAAAAUUUACAUUCAAAUUAGAGUUCAAUAAUACAAUGUUUAGUGACAUGCAUUAACAUUUUGCUAGUCAAAUAUAUGGUCAAACUUUGAGUCAAAACAUGAAGAAAACUAAUAAACCCGGACGAAGGUAGUACUUAUACGGCUAGUCAUAGUGGAAGUAGCACAGAUAGUAGUAUGCAUGUCACAUAAGCAAAAAAAAAUAUGAUGUGAUACGUAAUUAAAGAGAAGAGAGACAAAUAGAGUAACAUAAUAUUUUACCAUCACUUAUGUAUUUUCAAUGCAAAACAAGUCUACAAAGUGAUGCAUGAUACUGCACAUAUGUUGCUACCUACUAUAACGGGGAACACUUGCCCUCAUACGUCUGAUGUUUUCUCUCCGUCAGACCAAACUUGUACCGUACAUUCGUUUUCCAUCAUAUGGCCAAAAACAUCUGCCUCUCUCUCCACUAAAUGCACGCAUUAAUCAAUAAUGGAAGCUGCCCCACCAACCCGGUAAUUAUGCACCCACGGUUAGGGAAAUCCAAACGGAUCCAUAAUUGAUCGCUCCACCGUUGUUCUGGCCACGCUCGGUGAUCCCUCCGAUCUGCGUGCCGCGGUAGCACAUUAGCCCAUCGUUGUGGUCCGCAGCGCCGACGUCCUCUCCUACAGGUGACCAUGAUGGCCUUAAUGGUGAGCACCAUGCCAAUCUAGGCAUGAUUUCCCUCCUCCGUCCUCAUCUUGCUGCAGCGCCUUUUCUAACCUAGCCGUCCGCGUAGCCCUUCAACAUCGACAUACCAAGGUGUCUGGGACCCUCGCUGUUAGAGUUGUGUCAAAUAUUGUGUACACGGUAGGUUACAGUUGAACUCUGAGUGGUAUUGUGUUUACAUAGGAUAUGGAGUCGUGUCCUAGUAGGACACUUGUAUCCUAGGCCUCUCAUAUGGGGGUAGACACACGGUGUAACCUAUGCCAACAUAAUAGCACAGGCAUGCAAGGGGGAGCCGGCGGCGUGUGCCGGCGCCCGAGUGGCCGGUGUGCGGUAUUGUAACGGUGUCACGGGGAGGAGCGCCCGUAGUCAGGCCCCGGGGAGGUAGCCAUAUCGGUGAACCUCGUUAACAAAUCUUGGUGUCGUGCUCGUGUGAUUGCUUGGUCCUCGGAUGAUCAACAGUAUGCCUCAGAUUUAUUCUAUCAAGUGGUAUCAGAGCAAGGUUCGAAGAGGUCGUUGUGCGUCAAUUUAGAAUUUAGAGGAAGAUCAACGUUGAGUUCGUCGUGGAGAUGACGUGGAAGUCUAUCUUGUACCACGGUCAAUUUAUACUAUGAGAUCUCGGCGGAGAUUGCAAGCAUCGCGACGGAAGGAUCGUUGUCGGCGGUGGCAACAGCAGGCUCGAGCGAGCAGUCAGUCAGGCACCUUGUCGAUCAGAUCGAUCUGGAGCGGCGAGGGGCGUUGUGCCGCAGAAGCACGAGGCGCGUGCUAUGGAGGCAGGAGGCCGAUGUUUGGCGCGUGGAUGCUGGAGAUCAGGGCCACGUGGGCCACCGUGGCUAGGUGCAAGUGCGUUGUUCGGCUGAAGAGGGCGUCAGGCGAGCGAUGCAGGCUGCAGAGGACAGAAGCGAUCGGACAGAGAUUUGUAUUUUGGAAAAAGGAGACCGAGUCUCUGUAGUACUAUAUGACACGUGUUGGAAGGGAGAGAGGGAUUUGGUGGAAUAGUUCAUUGUAUUGCUUGAGCCUCAUGGGCAUAUAUAUAGGAGUACAUGGUCAUCUUGGAGUACAAGUCAAGGCAGGAACAAAUCCUACGCUAUCCUAUGUUUCCUAAAUAAACAUUAUAAUCAACAUCCCCCCGCAGUCACAACGGUAGCGACGCAGAUGAUGAGACUAGAGAAGAAUCCGAAGGCAAGACGACGGACACCCCCCACAGUCGUAAUGGUCGAUGCAUCACGAAAGUCGUGGCUGGAGUGGAAAGCGACGAGGUUGCUCAAGCAAGGCGGUAGCCCUUUGUGCCGUUUGUCGAUGUAGCCGAGAGCGUGGGUGGUGGAGUCGUGGUCGAGGUAGCCAUGCGAAGAAUGCCGUGGUCGAUGUCGAGUCAGGGUGGCCGGUGUCGAGGAAGUCGCCGUGGAGCCGCGGGCGCAAGGGGGCACCGAGUUAGCAUGGGCGUAGUGGUGUCAAAGUACGGGUGCGCCGGGAAGAUGAUGUUCUUGACGACGCAUCGCGGCGGGUUUGCCAAGCCAAGGAACACAUCGUAGAUUAAGGCACGCACCGGUGUUGCCAGCAUCGGGCAUGCGUAGACGGACGAAGAAGAAGUUGACGAAGCGUCGCACCAGGCUUGCCAGGCCCGGGGACACGUCGUGGAUGAAGGCACGCAUCGGUGUUGCCAGCACCGGGCAUGCGUAUACGAGGGACCUGCAUGAGCUGUACGCCAUGUCGGAGAAGUCGGAGGGGGCCAGCAGAGAAGAACUCAAUGACAAUUGCGGCGUCCAUCGGCGCGGGGCCAAAGUCGCCCGCAGUUGUCGGAGUAGACGAAGUGCUCGGGGUAGAUGACGGCGACGCUGGCGACGGGCUGGUGCUGGACGAAGAUGAAGGGAGGUGGACGGGCGGCGGCGGCUACGGGGAUAGCAGCAGCGGCGGCCGAAGAAGAGCGGUGGCGGCGGCCUGACGGCGGUGGCGGCGCCUAAGUUAGGAGCGUGGCGGCGGUGCUCGAAGUAGGCGAGGAGAACCCAACAGCAUGACGAAGAUCGGCGCGGACGGUGGCGUUCCCGCGCCAAGGGAGGCAGCGCGACGCAUACCACAGGAAGUCGACGCGCAACGACGAUGGUAGACCGCGGGCCGCGGUGCUACGGCCCGAAGGAGCGACGCAGCGGCGGCGGGCAGGUCAAGGCAACGGCGGAAGACCUCGGGGCGGCGGCAGAGACCGCGGGCCGUGGCGCGACAGCCCGAAGGGGCGGCGCGGCGGAGAAGCACGGGUCGGUGCAACCGCGGGGACGGCCUCGGGACGGCGGCGUGGACCGCGUGCCACGCUCGCUACGGCCCGACGGGGCGACGCAGCGGCGGCGCGAGGGUCGGUGCUGCCACGGGGACGACCUGGAGCGGACGGCCUCCGGGCGGCGGUGGACCACGGGCCGCGGCCCUACGGCCCGAAGGGGCGACACAGCGGUGACGCGGGUCGGUGCAGCCGGGAGAAGAACCACGGGGCGGCGGCACUGCGGCCCGACGGGGCGACACAGCGGCAGCCCGUUGCUCGAUCCGUAGAGGGGGCGCACCGAACUCGGGACGGUCUUCACGGGGCCUGCGGAGGCGCGCGCCACUGACGGGCCAGGUCGGUCGCACGGCGUAGAUGAGGCAGAUCGCGGCGGCGGGCGGGUGAUCAAUCCGAUCGCGCGCAAGGUCGGGCGCCGCUCGGUGGAGAUGGCGUGGCGGCGGAGUCCGAGAUGAAGCCGGCGACAGCGGGCGGCUGGGCGGCUAUGAUUGGCCGCCGCAUGGCGCGAGGCCGCUGGGUCGGGGUGAUGCAGGAGUCCCGGUCGGAGCAGGGUGGUGACGGCCGGCGUAGAUCGACGGGCGGGCCAGCGUGCGAACGGUGGCUGUGAAGGGCCACCGCAUGACGCGAGGCUGCGGGUCGGGGCGACCGGCGGGCAGACGCGCGAGGCCGGCGGGUCGGGGCGACCGGCGGGGAGACGCGUGGACGACGCGCUGGGCCGCCGGGUCGGUGAAGAAGCCGGCCGAUCGCGCCGGGGUUGGAGUAUAGGCGCACGGGUUCGACGGCGGCGGUGGGCGAUGCAAACCGAUCAAGAUUAGAUCGGAAAACCAAAAAGAAACCGCCGAUCAAGAUGACCGGCAGGAGAGAGAAAACCCCGGAGCAAGGGUUCGGAGAAAAGACUCUCUAGGGCAGCCGGUCAAGACGAUCGGCGGACGAACCCUUGGUACGGGCGGCGCGGCCCCCGGCGGCGGUCAUGCAGGCCGACCGCCCCAGGGGCGGCGCGCGGGUGUGGAAGCGGCGGCGGCUAGGGUUUAGAACCCGGAAACUGAUACCAUGUUGGAAGGGAGAGAGGAUUUGGUGAAAUAGUUCAUUGUAUUGCUUGAACCUAAUGGGCAUAUAUAUAGGAGUACGUGGUCAUCUUGUAGUACAAGUCAAGACAGGAACAAAUCCUACGCUAUCUAUGUUUCCUAAAUAAACAUUAUAAUCAACAACACGGAUAGGCAGGCAAGUCAGCGUAAGUGGAAUAAAAAUCCAUCAAGCCAUCAGGAACAGGUUUGACACAAAGGGCAGCACUAGCUUUGGGAAGUUGAGCCAAGACCGGAGCUUCACGUGAAGACCAGAAGUUCUUUUUGUUCUUUGGUUGAUUUGCUAUUAGUGCACGAGGGUGUACCACGUCAGGUUUGCUUGUGUACUUGGGCAUCAUGUGAGGAGAGCUUGAAUAAUUUUUUCACUGGGUCAGUCAUACGAAAAACCAUGGCGCCAAUGGGUACCAGGUUUGAGGUGGAGAAGUUCAACGGGACAGAAAACCUUGGGUUAUGACAGACAAGGAUGGAAAAUUGGUUGGCACAACAUGGAUGCUUGAAGGCGCUGCGGGAAGUCAUGUCAGUUAAGAUGGAAUUAUCAUGUGAUGGAUGAAAAUUCACGGAAGACGAUUUGUGAGCCUCGAGCAUGUCGUACAGUCGAACGAGUUCGGCUGGGUCGGACUAGGCAGUCUGACGGAUCGACGUAAGUCAGUUGGUACAGAAGACAGUGGUGGGAUCGGCGACAACGACAUAGGAGCGUGAUGCUGAUGGUGACCGACUUCUGGGGCAUGGAAACACAUGGCGGAGGCAUGAGGGCUUGUGUGGCUUCGACAAGACUAUGGCGUGGGGUUGAUUCAAGAUGGCGUACACAUGUGAGCUUGAAGUCGACGGGACGCAAGGGUGGACUGAUCAUCUACCAUGGAGUCAUGUUGAAGGUGGAGCUGGAGUCUGGAAGACUUCACUCGGUGCUGAUUGAGGGGCUACGGCGUAAGAGCUCAGAGAGUCGAAGCCUAUUUCAGCGGGAAAAGCGAGUGACAUGCAGUUUGGACUGGAGCCCAGUGGUCUGAUGGAAGCAUGAAACUCGUCAUCGGUCGGUGAUGAUAGGUGGUACUCUGCAGUGGGGGUUGAGUGGUGUGGGUUCGCGGCCCUUGAGACUCGACCGGGACAGCGAAGGCUCGAUGCGGUAAUAGCGGCGAGGCGUGCGGUAUGCACGGGACAUGGAGAUGGGUCAGGGCUCUGGUGGUCAUACAUGUGGUGAGACGACUGCGAAUUUGACUCGGGGUGACUACAAGCAACAGUGAAAUUCUUUCAAGUUUCAGACAGACGGUCAAGGAAGAGCGGUGAUGUUGAGUUCAGGUAACUCUUAUGUGUAACACCCAAUAUGUGAGUUGUUCACUUUCACGCAGAUCAGUGAUCGGUGUGUGAUGGCGUUGGACUGAUACUCUGGAAGUUGGGAGCGCAAACUAGAGUAAUGUGGAACUUAAUUUUGAUCGAGUGUUGACUGUGGUCAAGAAAAGAAGGGACUACAAGUUGCAGGUGGAGUCAUAUGGAAUCUUUGGAGUAGCAGCGGUUCUCAUGAGAUAAUCUCAAGUCCAAUGUACAUGAAAGUUUGACGCAUUGACAAAUUCAGGGUGGUGGAGAAUAUUCGCCAAGGUGGAGUUUGUUAGGGUUGUGUCGAAUACUGUGUACACGGUAGGUUACAGUUGGACUCUGAGUAGUAUUGUGUUUACAUAGGAUAUGGAGUCGUGUCCUAGUAGGACACUUGUAUCCUAAACCUCUCAUAUAUAGAGGGGGUAGACACACAUUGUAACCUAUGCCAACAUAAUAGCACAGGCACGAAAGGGGGAGCCGGCGGCGUGUGCCGGUGCCCGGGUGUCCGGUGUGCGGUAUUGUGACGGUGUCACGGGGAGGAGCGCCCAUAGUCAGACCCUGGGGAUGUAGCAAUAUCAAUGAACCUCGUUAACAAAUCUCGAUAUCGUGCUCGUGUGAUUGCUUGGUUCUUGGAUGAUCACCGGUAUGCCUCGGAUUUAUUCUAAUACUCGCCGACGUCGCAGAGGAGUUCGAUGUCACUGGUGUCCGGCUCCGGCGUCCCUAGUUCGCAACGACGAAAGGACCAUGUAUCGCUAGUCCAUACGACGUGCUACGUGCAUGCCCUACUUUUGCAUCUUAUGUUUGUAUAGGUGUGUUCAGCUUUGCUUUGUCUCCAUGCUUUGUAUGUUGCUUCCUAAUUUCCCACAUAUUAUGGAGAAGAUGCGGCCCCUUCAUGAUCUGGUUUUGAAUGAGUACCUAUAAAUAUUUUGUUAUUCCCACUUUUAAAAAUCUAUGCUUCCACUUGGCAGAUUAUGUUGGAUUGCAUAACAUGAUGCUUCCAAAAUUUCAUGCUCCAUACGCUUAGUUUGCUUCAUAAGCACCAUGGUUGUGUUUCUUCAAUAGUUUCCUUCGUAUGUUUGAGGCUUGUGCCUAUACUGGCCAGUUUACUUCAUUUUCAUUGUUCAUGUUGUUUUGUAGGCGUUCUAUUUGUAGUCAAAUCAAACAAUUCAUGCCUCCUAAAUUUCUCCAAUGCUGACGGGAGUGGAAGAAAAUGCUUUGCCGCGGCGAGCAUGGAGUGGUAGUCAUUGGUGGGCACGACGUGUGGAAAGAAGUUGAGCAUCUCAGUGGAUAUUGUACUCUUCAUCAGCUUGGGAGCAAACUUUGUAAUUGUUACGUUGCACAUUUUGGAGCAAACUUUGUAAUCAACCAUCGGCUUUGGAGGCACAUGGGCUUUUUUUUUGUAGUAGACGUAAUUGUUACGUCGCACAUAUAUGUUGCACCAUCUUCUAAAUUUUGUAUCCAACAUAUGUCUAUUUUUUCUUCCUACCCACAAAGAUGAAGCUUCGGUUACAGAAUAACCAAGCGAUGGAGGUUUUACAGAACAUUUAUGCUUCCUACACAGUUAAACAAAGUUUCGGUUAGACACUAAUCAUGCUUCUAACAAUAGCAUGCUAUGCUUCCUAUGUAUCCAAAUAAAUUAUGCUUCUCUUACACAUUAAGCAGGCAUGCUUCCACCAUUGCUGCCCAAUGCUUCAAGUGUUCAGAGAUUACAUGUGUAUAACCCAACGUUUCACUUUAGACGUCCUAGUUUCAACAACAGAUUUUUGGAGCAUCUUUAUUUUGAAGCAUUUUUUUGAAUAAUAUGUUUUCCAUCAAAUGCGCUUCCAUGGAUAAAAAUAUUGUUUCCAUACCACUUUACGUUGCAAAAAAAUCUACAUAAACGAAUAAUUUUCCUUAUUUGUUUAUGGAAGCUAAUCCCUAAUUAGCAGGAAGCAUUAUUUUCUGUAUUUGUUCGGGAAGCAAUCAUGAUUUACCAAAAGAACUAACGCAAUUUCUAGGAAGCAAUUAGUAACUAGACGGACAAAAUUAGGCAGGAUGGAGAGGUCAGCUGGAGGACAUGCUAUAUACGUGGGACUGGUCAAAGCAGUUAAUUAGGAGGGAGAAAACUCAGCGACUAACCAUCGUACAUCAGAUCGGACGGAUAGCAUGAUGUUAAUCCUACGGCCAUCCACUGGUCUGAUGGGAAGUAAGGGAUCAGUAGUCUGAUCCCUAGCGUUUCCUAAAAACAAAGUAGCCAUGGAGUAAUUUCACGGUUUUAUAGUGGUUGAGAGGCUUUUGGAUCCCGAGAGAGAGAGUGUGUGUUUCGUCCAACCCAGGCGGAACAGUGUCAGGACGACAACCCGUACCCAACAACAGCCUACAGCGUCGUUAUUAGGCUUUAAUUUGCUCUGUUCCACGUGGGCCUCCUCAGUUAAAGCGAAUAGUGCAGCGAUAGCAAGUUAGCAACCUCCUCCAUCAUUAUUUUUCCUGUGUCCACAUCAUCUCUCGUGAAGUUUUGGCCCUUGCUCUUGAUUUAUCUCUUACUAGAGUUGUCAUCGCUUGUGACUGCAAGAUAGUAGCUGAAGAAAUAAAAGGUGCAACGGUAGGAAGCUCUAGUGCAAUUAUCAAGGAGAUUUCAGAGCGAUCAAAGAAAUUCAUAAGCUGCGAGUUCAUCUUUGAAGGUCCUAAUUUAAAUUUUGAUGCUCACAACUUAGCUAAAUAACUUGCUAAUAAUUCUACUAAAAGACUUAGGCUGCGAGACAGACAGCCUGAUCAUGAAUACAUGAGGCGACGAAACAGAGAGAAAAGACUUGUGAACCAAGAUACCUAUGUGCUGUGGUCUUAUCUGGGCGGAAAGAAUUAGUAGAACCAUCAUCGCAACUACGCAUCGUCUGUCAGCCAAAGGAUAUGAAAGUGCGGAUGGUCUCGGUACAAGCUCGCACGGCAUCAAUUCCUGGUUCCUGGCUUUUUUGGAUGCCCAGCACCAUCUUCUUCAUGCAGCCCAUUCACGAAACAGAGUGUGUCCGUUCUAACAUCAGCCAGGACACAGAAAUAGUCAUCUGCUGUCCUGAAGCAUCGGGAGAGUAACUAGCUAGCAAUAAUCAUCUGCUACUGCAAAAUUUAUUGAAGAUUGGUAACAUCAAAGUUUAACAACAGCAAUGACGGAGUCCUGAAUUAAGGGGUCCUCAGGCGUCCGGUCUAUUUGAUAUGGGCCGGACUGAUGGGUCAUGAAGAUAAAGGAAAUAGACCACCUCCCGUGUCCAGAUAGGACUCAUAUAUGCGUGAACGGCAAGAUUAGUGUCCGGAUAUGCUAUUACCUUUCCCUGUAAACCGACUCUGACUUUGUACAACCCUAGGGCCCUCCGAUGUCUAUAUAAACCGAAGGGUUUAGUCCGCAGGGGGUCAUAAUAUCAUAGGCUAGACAAGUUAGGGUUUAGCCAUUACGAUCUCGAGGUAGAUCAACUCUUGUAACCCCUAUACUCGUCGAAUACAAUAAAGCAGGACGUAGGGUUUUACCUCUUUUAAGAGGGCCCGAACCUGGGUAAACACUGUGUCCCUUUGUCCAUUGUUACCAUUGAUCCUCAGACGCAUAGCUUGGGCCCCACUACCCGAGAUCUGCCGAAUUUGACACCGACAUUGGUGUUUUCAUUGAGAGCUCUGCUGUGUUGUCAACAGAAGGAUCGAUGGCGCGCCUCUUCAUCAACGAUGAUGCUGUGUCCAGGAAGACUUUUCUCCCCGGACAGGUCUUUGUGUUCGGCGGCUUCAUGCUACGUGCCGACUCGACUGGCCACCUUGAGCAGGUCGACAGUUACGCCCCCGGUCACCAGAUCAGCUUUGGAAACUUGAAUUACGUCGCUGAUAUCCGAGGAGAUCUGAUCUUGGAGGGGUUCGCGGCCCCGACUGCCGCUCCCUGCCCUCACAAAGAAGGCCCUUCAGAUCCGCUAUCAGAUCCCGUCCGAAGAUGAGAGGGUCGACCCUGUCGGACUCUCUCCUAUCAUGGAGCUCUCAACCGGAGACCCAGAUGCGAUCGCGCCGUUGGUAAACCCGGAGUCACUCCAUGCACUUUUCGAAAAACCUUCAAAUGAACCCAAUUUUUUUUAUAGUGUUCUACCAUCAUGACAAGUUUCGUGGCUUUUUGCCACUUUAUGAAUUUUCUACAAUUUUUCCGGUGAAAAAACCAUAUAGCACUCCUUGGACGUGACGCAACAUGCUUUUGGUGUCCAAAUACGUUCAAUUUUUGGAUUGAGUGUGGGGGUGCGCAUACCAACUCACUUGCAAAAUUUGAGGCCAUUCUGAAGAUGGCAAAAAAUUGACCUCGUUCUUCAGAGACCGUUCGGGUAGGAGUGAAGGCCUCGUACGAAAGGAGUUUUCUUCGACAACCUUCAAAUGAACCUAAAUUUUUUUCAUAGUGUUCUACCAUCAUGACUAGUAUGCAUGACAAGUUUUGUGGCUUUUUGCCACUUUAUGAAUUUUCUACAAUUUUUCCGGUGGAAAUACCAUAUAGCACUCCCCGGACGUGACACAACAUGCNNNNNNNNNNNNNNNNNNNNNNNNNNNNNNNNNNNNNNNNNNNNNNNNNNNNNNNNNNNNNNNNNNNNNNNNNNNNNNNNNNNNNNNNNNNNNNNNNNNNNNNNNNNNNNNNNNNNNNNNNNNNNNNNNNNNNNNNNNNNNNNNNNNNNNNNNNNNNNNNNNNNNNNNNNNNNNNNNNNNNNNNNNNNNNNNNNNNNNNNNNNNNNNNNNNNNNNNNNNNNNNNNNNNNNNNNNNNNNNNNNNNNNNNNNNNNNNNNNNNNNNNNNNNNNNNNNNNNNNNNNNNNNNNNNNNNNNNNNNNNNNNNNNNNNNNNNNNNNNNNNNNNNNNNNNNNNNNNNNNNNNNNNNNNNNNNNNNNNNNNNNNNNNNNNNNNNNNNNNNNNNNNNNNNNNNNNNNNNNNNNNNNNNNNNNNNNNNNNNNNNUCUACCAUCAUGACUAGUAUGCAUGACAAGUUUUGUGGCUUUUUGCCACUUUGUGAAUUUUCUACAAUUUUUCGGUGAAAAUACCAUAUAGCACUCCCUGGACGUGACGCAAGAUGCUUUUGGUGUCCAAAUAUGUUCAAUUUUUAGAUUGAGUGUGGGGGUGGGCAUACCAACUCACUUGCAAAAAUUGAGGCCAUUCUGAAGAUGGCAAAAAAUUGACCUCAUUCUCCGGAGACCGUUCAGGAGGAGUGAAGGUCCCGUCCGAAAGGAGUUUUUUUUCGACAACCUUCAAAUGAACCCAAUUUUUUUUCAUUAUGUUCUACCAUCAUGACUAGUAUGCAUGAUAAGUUUCGUUGCUUUUUACCACUUUAUGAAUUUUCUACAAUUUUUCUGGUGAAAAUACCAUAUAGCACUCCCCAAACGUGGCGUAACAUGCUUUUCGUGUCCAAAUACGUUUAAUUUUUGGAUUGAGUGUGGGGGUGGGCAUACCAACUCACUUGCAAACUUUGAGGCCAUUCUGAAGAUGGCAAAAAAUUGACCUCGUUCUCCGGAGACUGUACGAGUAGGACCGAAGGCCCCUUCCGAAAGGACUUUUUUUUCGACAUCCUUAAAAUGAACCCAAAUAUUUUUCAUAGUGUCCUGCCAACAUGACUCGUAUGCAUGACAAGUUUCGUGGCUUUUUGCCACUCUAUGUAUUUUCUACAAUUUUUGCGGUGAAAACACAAUAAAGCAUUCCCCGGACGUGACGCAACUUGUUUUUGGUUUCGAAAUACAUUCAAUUCUUGGAUAGAGUGUGGGGGUGGGCAUACCAACUCAGUUGCAAAAAUUUAGGCCAUUACAAAGAUGUCAAAGAAUUGACCUCGUUCUGUGGAGACCGUUCGGGUAGCGAAGGCCCCGUCCGAAAGGACUUUUUAAUCGGUGACAAGUUUCGUUGCUUUUUGCUACUCUAUGAAUAUCCACGAUUUUUCCGGUGAAAAUUGAGGUCAUUCAAAAAAUUUCACAUCGUUUACCGAACCGGCCGUUUUGUCUCAGUUUUAUUUUACCACUUGUCGUCUCGUAAUGUUCAAAUGCAUGUAUUUUUGUUUUUUUAAGCUUUAUUGCACGACUAAUAUCAAAUUAAACAUAAGGAUAUAUUUUUUCCAGAUAAACCAUUCCGAGUUCAUUCAUAUUUGAAGAUAUUUUACAUAACUUAGAACAAAAUUUAAAUCUAAACCUAAAACUAAACUACUCCUCGUCGCUGGCGCUGGUGAGGUCAACGACCGGCGCCGUACCUCCGGCACCUCCUUCGCCGCCGUCGCUGAAGUCGUCGUCCCACCAGUUGUCGCCCUCCUGCGCCUGCUGCGCCUGCACCGCCGAUAAGGCCACCUGCCGGUCCCUCUCCUCGUGCGUCGCCGCCACCGCCGCAUCGUCUGCCGACUGGGCUAGCGCCGCAAGUAGCCCCGGCAUGUCGUCGGGGUCGCCGUCUUGCGCGAGGGCGGCCUGCUCCGGCGGGAUCGGGACCAGCGCCGGGGCAGGGGACGCCUGCUGUGGGGCACUUGUGCCGGGAGCGGGUGGGCCGUGGCGGCCGCCGCCUUCCUGAACGCUUCCAGGACAAUAUCGAAGUCUUUGCCGCGCCAAAAGCUGCGGCGCGGCAGCCGACAGGUCGCGUCAGCGGCCGGCCCGAGGCGGAAGGCGGGCGGCAGGCGCGGCAUCGGUGGCGUUUGAAGGCGGGCGGGCCGGUCGCGGCAGCGGCGGCAGCCAAGCAGUCGCGUCAUUGGCCGGCCAUGAUAAGCCCAACUGAAGGGUGGGGCGGUUGGGAUGGUUGUCUGCUGCACAGCUAAUUGCAGCCUCCGCUUGGUCAUAUGCUUGUUGGGUGACGGACCCAUCGGUGAAUUCGCUGAAGUAAACAUGGAGAUCCUGGAGAGAAGGGAGAUUCUCCAAGCCCAAGCUAUCACGGAGAGAUGGGAGGAUUGCCAAACCCAAGCUAAAAGAAAAUGUAAGGCUUUGUACCUUGGGCAUUGCUCCUGGUGCGAACAUAUUUCCUCCCGUGGGAAGUAUCCCCAACUUACACUCCUGCAGGCACUGGAAAGUAUCAGCACUGAUCACCGGCCACUGUUUCCUUUCUUCAUCCCAGAUAUUCUUGUAGCAACUCAGCCGGAGGGAUUGAAGAACUGGAAAGGAACCAAGUAUGUCAAGAUCCUUCUGCCGCAGGUGGCCCAACCCGAUCUCUAUCAUGGAGAGCUCCCGAAGAUUUGACGGGUUAAUCCACGAUGGCAGAUAGGAGAACUUCCCAAAUGGUGAAACAAACCUACGGCGAUUCCGAGGAGGGGGCAUCCAUCCUUCCCCUAAGAAAUCCAAACAAGCACUUUCCUCAUCCAAACGGUAAGGGGCGUGCACAAUUAAACUCUGCAAAUUCUCCAGGUGAACUAGAGACUCCGAAAUCCAACCCUUGAAGCUCUCAUCAGGCAUACCUUCCAACGAGAAAGUAAGAACCCUCAGUUUAGUCAAAUGCCUUAGCUCUUUUGCAAUGUGCGGAGACUUGGAUAAGCUGAUAGAUAACAACACUUGCAAAGCCUCCAGUUUGCUGAUAACACCUGGCCUGAAUUUGUUUUUGGAGCGACCACCAACACUUAAGAAUAUCAGAUGUUUUAGCUGCCCAAUUUGGAUCGGCAAUAAGAGCUCACUGGGGUAUAUAUCUCCCAACGCAAGAUAUCUCAACUGGCAUAAACUCCCGAGAUGCUCAAGUAAUUUAUGGCGUUGCUCCUGAAGAUAGCAGUCCUCCAAAUCCAAUACACGUAAUUGAGGGGAAAAAGAAAGGGGUGACAUUUUGUCAACCCCCGACACAGUAAGUGACCUCAUGUGGGACAAUAUCAAUCUCCCCUGAGGCAUCUCAACAUCCUGGAGUUGCAGAAAUAACCUGCGGACCUUGCUUGUUAUCGCAGCUGAUUUGGCCUUCUUAUCAUGCAAUACAGUACAAAAGUUUUCUUCAAUAGAAAUGGAGCUGAUAAAUUCCAGAACCAAGUCAUGCACACGGCAAUCCGUUGUCCUGACAUACCUAUAGGAGUCCACCGCUUGGAUCAAUCCUCUGUUUAUGAGCUCCGUGAGGUAGCUCUCACCAAGCUCAAAUAAGUCCUCAUCUUGUACCCCAUUAACAAAACCUUCACAUAUCCACCUCCAUAUCAAUCUGCUUCCUUGAAUAAUGUAGUCUUCAGGAAAUAUACUUAGAUACAACAAGCAAGUUUUUAGGUGGAUAGGUAGAUGGCGAUAGCUAAGGGCCAAUAUAUUUCUCAUCGUCUUCACAUCAGGACUAUUGUCAAGUCCCGAACCGAUAGAAUCACACAACUUGUUCCACUCCCUUUUAUUCCCUUCCCGACUGGCCAAUAAACCAGCAAUGGUGAUGAUAGCCAAUGGCACACCGCCACAUUUCUUCAGGAGAGUUUCAGAUACUUCGACCAAAUCAUCUGGACAGUCAUUAUUAAUACCAAAAAUUCUUCCAAAGAAUAAUAUUUUGGAUGUCUCAUCAGGGAGGGGUUUAAGCUCAUAAGCGCCACCAACUUUACGUGCAACGUCGCGAUCACGGGUUGUUGUGAUUACUCUAUUCUCAUAAUGAUUAUCAGCUAGAGCACAUCGGAUCACUUCCCAAUGUUUUAUGUCCCAUAUGUCAUCUAUGACAAUAAGAUACCUGCCCAUAUUGUAACGCAAGAUUUCACACAUUAGUAAAUAGUGCUAAACUGAAAUGUGGAAAACCAUUUCAACACCAACUACUAAACAUUGCAAGUAGAUUCCUAAAUUUGGAGCAGAAUAAUUCAUGCAUUAGUAAUACUAAUAAUUCAUGCAUUAGUAAUACUAGUAAACUUAUAUGACAUAAAUUUAAGUACAACUCUUCCCCCGUUUCAAACAAUAAGAAGGUCUAGCUUUGUAAUGAGUCAAACUUCAUUAAGUUUCAUCAAAUUGAUACAAAGUGUACCAACAUCUUCAACAACUAGUUACUUUCGUUGAAUCCUCUAUGAAAUAUAUAUUUUAUAAUAUACUUGUUUGCUAUUAAAGAAUAUUGCUAUAAACUAUUCCAAACUUAAAAGGUUGACUUAGGACAAAGCUAAUACAUUUUGUAGUCUUGAACGAAGCGUGACCAUGUUGAAGUUAGGUCUUGCAUAAAAGGAUGUAUAUAUAUGGGGUAUGGGCUAUGGCACACCCCGUAUGCCUCGUCCAUAACAACAAAGUGUACCUAAAUAUGUGUUACACAUAAAUAGUACACAUUACUCUAGAAAAACAUAAAUAGUAGAUAUGUGUUACUCCCUCCAAUCCCAUAGAAGGGCGCUAAAUUUCU